UACUCAAGAACAUGGGGCAGAUAUUGAAAGCUGGUGGUGCUAAGUACUGCUCCGUGGUGAAGACAACCAUCAUGCUUGCUGACUUGGCUGACUUGGCUGACUUCAAAAAAGUGAACGAAAUAUAUGGCAAAUACUUCCCAGAUGCUCCCCCAGCAAGAUCCACAUACCAAGUGGCGGCUUUGCCACUAAACGCAAAGAUCGAGAUCGAUUGUAUUGCAGUACUCUAGAACAGCAUCAAUCUCUGUCGUCAGAACAAAUAAGAGGAAACCAUGGUUUAGG